rnacentral:tRNA from 1 species
GCGAGUGUAGCUCAGUUGGUAGAGCAUCACGUUGCCAACGUGAUUGUCGCCGGUUCGACUCCGGUCACUCGCUCCA